rnacentral:miRNA from 1 species
AUGCAUUAUCUGGCCAAGAA